UACGAAGGGGGCGAGCGUUGUUCGGAAUUACUGGGCGUAAAGCGUGCGCAGGCGGUUUGCUAAGACCGAUGUGAAAUCCCCGGGCUUAACCUGGGAACUGCAUUGGUGACUGGCAGGCUAGAGUAUGGCAGAGGGGGGUAGAAUUCCACGUGUAGCAGUGAAAUGCGUAGAGAUGUGGAGGAAUACCGAUGGCGAAGGCAGCCCCCUGGGUCGAUACUGACGCUCAUGCACGAAAGCGUGGGGAGCAAACAGG
rnacentral:rRNA from 1 species